rnacentral:rRNA from 1 species
AGUGAACGCUGGCGGUAGGCCUAACACAUGCAAGUCGAACGGCAGCACAGUAAGAGCUUGCUCUUACGGGUGGCGAGUGGCGGACGGGUGAGGAAUACAUCGGAAUCUACUUUUUCGUGGGGGAUAACGUAGGGAAACUUACGCUAAUACCGCAUACGACCUACGGGUGAAAGCAGGGGAUCUUCGGACCUUGCGCGAUUGAAUGAGCCGAUGUCGGAUUAGCUAGUUGGCGGGGUAAAGGCCCACCAAGGCGACGAUCCGUAGCUGGUCUGAGAGGAUGAUCAGCCACACUGGAAGUGAGACACGGUCCAGACUCCUACGGGAGGCAGCAGUGGGGAAUAUUGGACAAUGGGCGCAAGCCUGAUCCAGCCAUACCGCGUGAGUGAAGAAGGCCUUCGGGUUGUAAAGCCCUUUUGUUGGGAAAGAAAAGCAGCAGGUUAAUACCCCGCUGUUCUGACGGUACCCAAAGAAUAAGCACCGGCUAACUUCGUG